AUGUGUGGGUCCAAAGAGCUCAAAUUUGUACAUCUUUCCAGAAAAAGUACUACCCUUCCCCUCCCCAAAAAGUGGCUUUUUUAAAGCUUUUGUGUCAUUUUCCCAUUUGUGCCCAUGGACACUGGGUAUCCACAACUACAGCAGGAAAAGGCUUUGAGCAGAAUCCCAGGACAGCUCUUGGUGGAUUUGUCCUUCCUCAAGAGCAGGAGUGGAUUGUUCUGAGCUGGCUUUGGUGUUUUCUUUCCCCAGAAAGCUUAGGUUUUAUGCAGCUUGACACCUGGGAGAGGUGUCCAGGGUCUUAGAUGUAGAAAUGUGGCUUGGGAGACAUUGGCCCAUGACCCUAACACCAGGCAUGCAAAUCCUCUUGGAGCCCAGACCCAGUGGCGGCCGGGGUUGCCGCCCACCUGCCUGUGCUGUGCACUGGGUGCCUUCUGCGCUCAGCUGCAGCCUUGUCUGUGAAUCCGGAGUGCGGAGCCAGCGGGUGCCUGUAGUGGGUGGAAUUGGGGUCUGCACUUGCCCCUCCGCCCCCGGGUGGGAGUCACCUGGAGCGUGAAGGGACGUGUCUCAUCCCCAGUGUGUCGGACCCUGGAGACACAGCCGCAGAGCAGCCCCUUCGCGUGCAUGGACCUCACCUACGUCAGCCUGCUACUCCAGGAGUUCGGCUUUCCCAGGAGCAAAGUACUGAAGCUCACUCGGAAAAUUGACAAUGUUGAGACCAGCUGGGCUCUGGGGGCCAUUUUUCAUUACAUCGACUCCCUGAACAGACAGAAGAGUCCAGCCUCAUAGUGGCCGAGCCAUCCCUGUCCCCGUCAGCAGUGUCUGUGUGUCUGCAUAAACCCUCCUGUCCUGGACGUGACUUCAUCCUGAGGAGCCACAGCACAUGCCGUGGUGGCACUUUCUGCACACUGGCUCUGGGACUUGCAGAAGGCCUGGUGCUGCCCUGGCAUCAGCCUCUUCCAGUCACAUCUGGCCAGAGGGCUGUCUGGACCUGGGCCCUGCUCAAUGCCACCUGUCUGCCUGGGCUCCAAGUGGGCAGGACCAGGACAGAACCACAGGCACACACUGAGGGGGCAGUGUGGCUCCCUGCCUGUCCCAUCCCCAUGCCCCGUCCGCGGGGCUGUGGCUGCUGCUGUGCGUGUCCCUGCGAUGGGAGUCUUGUCUCCCAGCCUGUCAGUUUCCUCCCCAGGGCAGAGCUCCCCUUCCUGCGAGAGUCUGGGAGGCGGUGCAGGCUGUCCUGGCUGCUCUGGGGAAGCCGAGGGACAGCCAUAACACCCCCGGGACAGUAGGUCUGGGCGGCACCACUGGGAACUCUGGACUUGAGUGUGUUUGCCUCUUCCUUGGGUAUGAAUGUGUGAGUUCACCCAGAGGCCUGCUCUCCUCACACAUUGUGUGGUUUGGGGUUAAUGAUGGAGGGAGACACCUCCUCACAGAUGGCAGGUGCCCACCCUUCAGGGAGUCUCCCAGCAUGGGCGGAUGCCGGGCAUGAGCUACUGUAAACUAUUUGUGGCUGUGCUGCUUGAGUGACGUCUCUGUCGUGUGGGUGCCAAGUGCUUGUGUAGAAACUGUGUUCUGAGCCCCCUUUUCUGGACACCAACUGUGUCCUGUGAAUGUAUCGCUACUGUGAGCCGUUCCCGCCUAGCCAGGGCCAUGUCUUAGAUGCAGCUGUGCCACGGGUCAGCUGAGCCACAGUCCCAGAACCGAGCUCUCGGUGUCUCGGGCCACCAUCCGCCCACCACGGGUUGACCCCACCUCCUCCAUGGACAGUGUGAGCCCCGGGCCGUGCAUCCUGCUCAGUGUGGUGUCAGUGCCGGGGCUGAGCCCCUUGAGCUGCUUCAGUGAAUGUACAGUGCCCGGCACGAGCUGAACCUCAUGUGUUCCACUCCCAAUAAAAGGUUGACAGGGGCUUCCCCUUCUCUGG
rnacentral:sRNA from 1 species